rnacentral:rRNA from 1 species
UGGGGAAUAUUGGACAAUGGGGGGAACCCUGAUCCAGCCAUGCCGCGUGUGUGAAGAAGGCCUUAUGGUUGUAAAGCACUUUAAGCGAGGAGGAGGCUACUGAGACUAAUACUCUUGGAUAGUGGACGUUACUCGCAGAAUAAGCACCGGCUAACUCUGUGCCAGCAGCCGCGGUAAUACAGAGGGUGCGAGCGUUAAUCGGAUUUACUGGGCGUAAAGCGUGCGUAGGCGGCUUUUUAAGUCGGAUGUGAAAUCCCCGAGCUUAACUUGGGAAUUGCAUUCGAUACUGGGAAGCUAGAGUAUGGGAGAGGAUGGUAGAAUUCCAGGUGUAGCGGUGAAAUGCGUAGAGAUCUGGAGGAAUACCGAUGGCGAAGGCAGCCAUCUGGCCUAAUACUGACGC